AACGAACGCUGGCGGUGCGUCUUAAGCAUGCAAGUCGAACGGUAAGAAGAGAGCUUGCUCUUUUCCUAGAGUGGCGGACUGGUGAGUAACGCGUGGAUGAUCUACCUUUGAGAUGGGGAUAGCUUCUAGAAAUAGGAGGUAAUACCGAAUAACCUUAUUAUGUUAUGACGUAGUAAGAAAAGGAGCGUCAGCUCCGCUUAAAGAUGAGUCUGCGUCCCAUUAGCUAGUUGGUAAGGUAAAGGCCUACCAAGGCAACGAUGGGUACCCGGCCUGAGAGGGUGAACGGGCACAUUGGGACUGAGAUACGGCCCAAACUCCUACGGGAGGCAGCAGCUGAGAAUCUUCCGCAAUGGACGAAAGUCUGACGGAGCGACACCGCGUGAACGAUGAAGGCCGAAAGGUUGUAAAGUUCUUUUGCAGACAAAGAAUAAGGAUAGAAGGAAAUGACUAUCUGAUGACGGUAGUUAUGCGAAUAAGCCCCGGCUAAUUACGUGCCAGCAGCCGCGGUAAUACGUAAGGGGCGAGCGUUGUUCGGAAUUAUUGGGCGUAAAGGGCAUGUAGGCGGUUAGGUAAGCCUGAUGUGAAAUGUACGAGCUUAACUCGUAAACUGCAUUGGGUACUGCUUGACUUGAAUCAUGGAGGGGAAACUGGAAUUCCAAGUGUAGGGGUGGAAUCUGUAGAUAUUUGGAAGAACACCGGUGGCGAAGGCGGGUUUCUAGCCAAUGAUUGACGCUAAGGUGCGAAGGUGCGGGGAGCAAACAGGAUUAGAUACCCUGGUAGUCCGCACAGUAAACGAUGUACACUAGGUGUUGGGGUAAGACUCAGUGCCGGAGCAAACGCAAUAAGUGUACCGCCUGGGGAGUAUGCUCGCAAGAGUGAAACUCAAAGGAAUUGACGGGGGCCCACACAAGCGGUGGAGCAUGUGGUUUAAUGCGAUGAUACGCGAGGAACCUUACCUGGGUUUGACAUCAAGAGGAAUACUGUAGAGAUAUGG
rnacentral:rRNA from 1 species